UGCAAAUGUUCCUCAGCAGCACAUAGCACCUAUCGGGUCCAGGAGCCGGCUGUGCACAUCCCAGGACAGGAGCCCCUGACCGCGUCCAUGCUGGCUGCGGCGCCCCUGCAUGAGCAAAAGCAGAUGAUUGGCACCUGUUAUCUUGUCUUAAAACGCUGGUCAGACUGGAUGGUCCUGAGCUUUCUUCCACUGCUGCUGUCCUGUGACUUUGAGGGGAGCGUCUCUACCCCCUUAUCCAUGAUGUCCACACCCAGCUGGCUGGCAAGAUCACGGGCAUGCUGCUGGAGAUUGACAACUCAGAGCUGUUGCUCAUGCUGGAGUCUCCAGAAUCCCUCCAUGCCAAGAAAAGGAAAUCCUCGCUUCCAUGGCUGCCAAAAGGACAGUGUUUCUGGCUCUCAGCCCUAAGGCCCUGCAAACUCUAACUUAUUUCCCAAUUAGUCUGUAUCUAUACUUGGGCUCUGUAUGUGAAUGAAGGUUGGUCACCCAUCCAGCCUAUUACCUUUUGCUUUGUGUAUUAAAAGUGCUGCAAAAUCUGC
rnacentral:lncRNA from 10 species